CUUAAAACAUUCAGGAAACCCCUCUUGCCUUGUCACUCAGUCAGAACAACCAGAUGUUCUGACUUGAUAGGGAAGUUGUGACCCGACGUCCCCAAAAAUAAGACCACCAUGAACUAUCGACCCUGCCAGACAGGAUAUGAGUUUUCAAAAACAUCAAGCCACCUGCAGCAGAUAGCUCACCCACCAGUAAGCAAAGGACACGACCCCUAUUAACCAAUGCCAUCUGCUUCUGUAACCAAUGCUUGCUUUGCGGUUUUCGGCUAUAUAUACUCUGUACCCCCUUACCCGGGGCUCUCUCCCCUCUCUCUACCGGAGUGUGGUUGGAGAGUCCCUCGCAUGCGUGGACAAUAAAACCCCUUGAUUUUUCAUGAGAGCUGGUCCCUUGGGGUCUUCUUCGCGAUGGUGAUCCUACAUUUGGAGGCCCCAGCAACAUCUGCCCCCCCCCUCGCCGAGGGAGGCCCCAACGGCCACAAAGUGUCUCUUGGGGCUCUCAAACGCCAGAAUUCUACUGUCAAGCCCUGCUUCUAGACCCAGAGUCAAUGAUAUUCAAGACUUCUUCAGCUUUAAACCCAGCCACCCUUAUGCCUGAUGAUGACCUGGAGGAACAAAAGACACCUCUCCAUGAGUGUGCUGACAUCCUUGAACUGCAGCAGAACCUACGGGCUGAUCUUACCAACCAGCUUUUGGGAAAUGCCGACAACUAUUUCAUCGAUGGAAGCAGCUUCAUCCAGAAUGACAAAUGAGUGGCCGGGGCAGCAGUGACCACCAAAAAGGAGGUACUCUGGGUUAAGUGGUUAGAGCCUGGCACCUCUGCCCAAAAGGCGGAGCUUGUUGCUUUGACUGAGAGGCUAAAACUAGCCACAGGAAAGAGGGUAAACAUUUUUUUACUGACAGUAGAUAUGCCUUUGCUACUGUACAUAUAUGUGGAGCCAUCUAUCAAGAGUGAGGUCUCUUAACCUCAGUUGGGACUAAGAUUAAAAAUGCUCCACAGAUUCUAGACUUGCUGGCAGUUGUCUGGCUGCCUCAACGGGUUGCUAUUAUUCAUUACAAGGCUCACCAGACAGGAGAUGACACUGUCACCUUAGGAAACAGUUUGGCAGAUCAAGCAGGUCGAAAAAUAGGAACCACAUCAGAGGGGCCAACCAAGAAAGUAACUGCUCUGAUGCUAGUCCCUCCAACCUUGUCAAAACCAGUCUACACAAAGAAAGACCUAAAGUUAACAUCUCAACUUAGAGUAAAGUCCCCCACCCCAGGGAGCUGGUACCAGUUACCUGAUAAACAAGUACUGUUACUGGAGGCACUAGGGUGGGAGCUGUUACACCUUGCAUAAUUGUUCAAAACUCAGUAUUUUAUUCCAAAACUCUGCAAACUGACCACCUCUUUGAGCUCCAGAUGCCCACAGUGAUUGUUAGUCAACUCAGCCAAGAGCUCUAUGCUGGAGACCACCCGACAUUAAAGAAUUGUUCCAGGAGAACAUUGGGAAGUAGACUUCAUAGACAUGGUAAAACUUAAUUUACAGGGACACCACUAUCUCUUGGUAUUAAUAAACACUUUUUUACUGGCUGGGUAGAGGCUUUCCCUACUAAAUCUGAGUCAGCCUUAGUGGUAGUUAAAGGGCUAUUGCAUGAGAUCAUACCUUGAUUUGGCCUCCCACUAUCAAUGGGGUCCGAUAAUGGCCUAGCUUUCAUAGCCCAAAUCACCCAAAAGUUAGCCCAGGCAUUAAAAAUUAAUUAAAACUCCACUGUGCCUAUCAGCCACAAGGCUCAGAAAAAGUAGAACAUAUAAACCAAAGUCUCAAGGACAUUUUAGCUAAGCUGUCUUCAAAAACUGGCGAUAAUUGGGUGAGCCUUCUUCCCUUUGCACUAAGAGCUAGAUGUACCCCAUAUGUUUCUGGAAUUUCCCCCAUUAAAGCCAUGUUGGGAGGCCCCUGCCAUUGGUUUCGGGAUUACCAAAAAAAUAAACUAGCUAAAAUAACUAAUCAAGAUCUCAUUAAGUCCUGGCAGACUCUCCAACCUGUGUUGACUUCAAUCCACCAGCUGUUUAGACUAGGCGAAAACACCCGGAUCUGCCUUCAGAGACACCUCUCAAGGUGCCGAUCGAGCCAGGGACUCCAGUCUUGGUGCAAUGUCACCACUGUGACUCCCUCGAACCCCGCUGGGAAGGACCUUUCACCGUGGUGCUCAGUACCCCCACUGCCAUCAAGGUAGCAAAAAAAAAAACUACAUAGAUUCAUUACACUCAUGUAAAGCCACUAAAAACAGUGGACGAGGGACAUACUCAGUAGACUACACAACAGACUAGUAACCCCUUAAAGUUAAAAUUGACUAAGACAUAGUUAGAUUAUGCUGGUCAUAAACUGUUUUAGCUUACUUGCUUUAAUUUUAAUAACACAUUUUAAUUUUAAUUUUAAUUUUAAUGCCGACCUUGCACGGCGGCUUUGGUCCCCCUGUAAGCAAAGAACAAUUGUUAAGGUCUUUAUGUGGGAGCUCCUGUGAUUGUAGAGGGGGCUCUAUUACUAAAGGUAAAGAUACCAACUGGGGGGAAUUAUACAUACAAUAGAAAACAAAGAUCGAGAUCCUUCCCACACAAAUGAUAAAUUGUAUACAUACGGUCUUCGGACAAAUUGUGGGGACAAGUUAACAUUCUUUGUUGCUAUACCCUCAGUUACAGGGGGUUUGACUAAAAGGUAGAUGUAAAUGAUAAAGCCCCAUGUGAUAUCUAACAAAGGCAGCCAGUGAGGGCCAUGCCCUCAAAACUGUUCUUAGUAUUCAAAAAUGCAUUCCUCCUGCUAUGACUCUGUACAAAAAUAUAUAGACAUAGAUAACAAAACUUACUUCACUGCUGAGCUUAUGAAGACAAGGGCUAAAAGAGUUAAAGGUGAUUGGUCAACAAAUCCGACAGUGAUAGGAGGUUCAAAAUAUGCCCAAGCCUCGGGGGCUGGGGAUUUAGCUCAGUGGCAUAAGCGCCUGCCUUGCAAGCAGGCAGUUGUGAGUUUGAUCCCUCGUACCGAUAAAAACGAAAAAGACAAAAAAAAAAAAAAAAUGCCCAAGCCUCAUGUCUCAACAUGGUUGGUAAAUCUGUGCUGGAGCAGGGUGGCCCCUAUACAUGUGUCUGAUAGGGGCGGGCCACAAGAUAAGAUCAAAAAGCUCUGGUGGUUAAAAAACGAGUCAAGCUGCCUAAAUCACGGUGAGUUAAUCUGGAUGCUCAAACUUAUGAUAUUCUAGAGGCCACUCAUAAAGUCUUAAAUGCUUCCAACCCAAUUUUGGCUAUAAUCUCUAGGAUUAGAGAUCCUCACAAAAAAAGGAGGGAGGGGAAUGAAGAGUUAAAACAUUCAGAAAACCCUUCUUGCCUUGUCACUCAGUCAGAACAACCAGAUGUUCUGACUUGAUAGGGAAGUUGUGACCUGACGUCCCCAAAAAUAAGACCACCAUGAACUAUCGACCCUGCCAGACAGGAUAUGAGUUUUCAAAAACAUCAAGCCACCUGCAGCAGAUAGCUCACCCACCAGUAAGCAAAGGACACGACCCCUAUUAACCAAUGCCAUCUGCUUCUGUAACCAAUGCUUGCUUUGCGGUUUUCGGCUAUAUAUACUCUGUACCCCCUUACCCGGGGCUCUCUCCCCUCUCUCUACCGGAGUGUGGUUGGAGAGUCCCUCGCAUGCGUGGACAAUAAAACCCCUUGAUUUUUCAUGA